rnacentral:rRNA from 1 species
GACGAACGCUGGCGGCGUGCCUAAUACAUGCAAGUCGAGCGAAUCACUGGGAGCUUGCUCCCGGUGGUUAGCGGUGGACGGGUGAGUAACACGUGGGCAACCUGCCUGUAAGACUGGGAUAACACCGGGAAACCGGUGCUAAUACCGGAUAAUCCUUUCCUGCACAUGCAGGAAAGCUGAAAGUCGGUUUCGGCUGACACUUACAGAUGGGCCCGCGGCGCAUUAGCUAGUUGGUGAGGUAACGGCUCACCAAGGCGACGAUGCGUAGCCGACCAGAGAGGGUGCUCGGCCACACUGGGACUGAGACACGGCCCAGACUCCUACGGGAGGCAGCAGUAGGGAAUCUUCCACAAUGGACGAAAGUCUGAUGGAGCAACGCCGCGUGGGCGAUGAAGGCCUUCGGGUCGUAAAGCUCUGUUGUUAGGGAAGAACAAGUACCGGAGUAACUGCCGGUACCUUGACGGUACCUAACCAGAAAGCCACGGCUAACUACGUGCCAGCCGCCGCCGUAA